AAGUCGUAACAAGGUUUCCGUGUGAACCUGCGGAAGGAUCAUUAACACGUAUCAGUUCGCAAUCUCUGGUAAAUCAUAGCCCGGAAAGUAGUUUUGAUUCAGAGACCUUUGGCUACGUGAGAACAUUGGAACAGUUACAAUCGAGCGGUAGUUUCAUAGGCAUUGUUUCCCCAAGCAGUCAGUGUCUGAAAGUGUCACUGAUUGUGCAAGGAUAGCGCUUCAACGAUUCCUGUAGACCGUACACUCGGGCAGGAGCUAUGCCAAAGGGUCCCCAUGCCCCCUUAUAACCCCACAGUUUAAUGUGAAGCUCAAUGUAAUACAUUGGGUAAAAAAACCGAACAACUGUUAACAAUGGAUAUCUUGGUUCUC
rnacentral:misc_RNA from 1 species